rnacentral:rRNA from 1 species
GAUAAACGCUGGCGGCGUGCCUAACACAUGCAAGUCGAACGCCCUUCGCAAGAAGGGAGUGGCGGACGGGUGAGUAACACGUGGGUACCUACCCCGCGGUGAGGAAUACCGACGAGAAAUCGUCGACAAUACCGCAUGAGUUCUCGCAAGAGAGGAAAGCUUCGCAAGAGGUGCCGGGGGAUGGGCCUGCGCCCGAUUAGCUAGUUGGUGAGGUAAAGGCCCACCAAGGCGACGAUCGGUAGCUGGUCUGAGAGGAUGAUCAGCCACACUGGGAUUG